GACGAACGCUGGCGGCGUGCUUAACACAUGCAAGUCGAACGGAAAGGCCCUGCUUUUGUGGGGUGCUCGAGUGGCGAACGGGUGAGUAACACGUGAGUAACCUGCCCUUGACUUUGGGAUAACUUCAGGAAACUGGGGCUAAUACCGGAUAGGAGCUCCUGCUGCAUGGUGGGGGUUGGAAAGUUUCGGCGGUUGGGGAUGGACUCGCGGCUUAUCAGCUUGUUGGUGGGGUAGUGGCUUACCAAGGCUUUGAAGGGUAGCCGGCCUGAGAGGGUGACCGGCCACAUUGGGACUGAGAUACGGCCCAGACUCCUACGGGAGGCAGCAGUGGGGAAUAUUGCACAAUGGGCGGAAGCCUGAUGCAGCAACGCCGCGUGCGGGAUGACGGCCUUCGGGUUGUAAACCGCUUUCGCCUGUGACGAAGCGUGAGUGACGGUAAUGGGUAAAGAAGCACCGGCUAACUACGUGCCAGCAGCCGCGGUGAUACGUAGGGUGCGAGCGUUGUCCGGAUUUAUUGGGCGUAAAGGGCUCGUAGGUGGUUGAUCGCGUCGGAAGUGUAAUCUUGGGGCUUAACCCUGAGCGUGCUUUCGAUACGGGUUGACUUGAGGAAGGUAGGGGAGAAUGGAAUUCCUGGUGGAGCGGUGGAAUGCGCAGAUAUCAGGAGGAACACCAGUGGCGAAGGCGGUUCUCUGGGCCUUUCCUGACGCUGAGGAGCGAAAGCGUGGGGAGCGAACAGGCUUAGAUACCCUGGUAGUCCACGCUGUAAACGGUGGGUACUAGGUGUGGGGUCCAUUCCACGGGUUCCGUGCCGUAGCUAACGCUUUAAGUACCCCGCCUGGGGAGUACGGCCGCAAGGCUAAAACUCAAAGGAAUUGACGGGGCCCCGCACAAGCGGCGGAGCAUGCGGAUUAAUUCGAUGCAACGCGUAGAACCUUACCUGGGUUUGACAUGGAUCGGGAGUGCUCAGAGAUGGGUGUGCCUCUUUUGGGGUCGGUUCACAGGUGGUGCAUGGCUGUCGUCAGCUCGUGUCGUGAGAUGUUGGGUUAAGUCCCGCAACGAGCGCAACCCUUGUUCACUGUUGCCAGCACGUUAUGGUGGGGACUCAGUGGAGACCGCCGGGGUCAACUCGGAGGAAGGUGGGGAUGACGUCAAGUCAUCAUGCCCCUUAUGUCCAGGGCUUCACGCAUGCUACAAUGGCUGGUACAGAGAGUGGCGAGCCUGUGAGGGUGAGCGAAUCUCGGAAAGCCGGUCUCAGUUCGGAUUGGGGUCUGCAACUCGACCUCGUGAAGUCGGAGUCGCUAGUAAUCGCAGAUCAGCAACGCUGCGGUGAAUACGUUCCCGGGGCU
rnacentral:rRNA from 1 species